rnacentral:tRNA from 1 species
GGGCUCGUAGUUUAGUGGUUAUGACGCCACCUUCACAAGGUGGAGAUCGGCGGUUCAAUUCCGCCCGAGCCCA